rnacentral:rRNA from 1 species
UACGUAGGGGGCUAGCGUUGUCCGGAAUCAUUGGGCGUAAAGCGCGUGUAGGCGGCCCGGUAAGUCCGCUGUGAAAGUCGGGGGCUCAACCCUCGAAUGCCGGUGGAUACUGUCGGGCUAGAGUACGGAAGAGGCGAGUGGAAUUCCUGGUGUAGCGGUGAAAUGCGCAGAUAUCAGGAGGAACACCCAUUGCGAAGGCAGCUCGCUGGGACGUUACUGACGCUGAGGCGCGAAAGCUAGGGGAGCAAACAGG